CAGCCGCGGUAAUACGAAGGUCCCAAGCGUUGUUCGGAAUCACUGGGCGUAAAGGGUGCGUAGGCGGUUUGGUAAGUCAGAUGUGAAAUCCCGAGGCUCAACCUCGGAACUGCAUCCGAUACUGCUAGACUAGAGGACUGGAGAGGUGACUGGAAUUCUCGGUGUAGCAGUGAAAUGCGUAGAGAUCGAGAGGAACACUCGUGGCGUAAGCGAGUCACUGGACAGUAUCUGACGCUGAGGCACGAAGGCCAGGGUAGCGAAA
rnacentral:rRNA from 1 species